rnacentral:rRNA from 1 species
GACGAACGCUGGCGGCGUGCUUAACACAUGCAAGUCGAACGAAGUGGCGAACGGGUGAGUAACGCGUAAUUAACCUGCCCUUCAGAGGGGGACAAAAGUUGGAAACGACUGCUAAUACCUCAUACUGAAGGGGUGGAUUGCGUCUGAUUAGCUCGUUGGAGGGGUAACGGCCCACCAGGGCGAUGAUCAGUAGUCGGUCUGAGAGGGAUGACCGGCCAAUUGGGAAUGGGACAAGGCCCAUAACGCCUCGGGAGGGAGCCAGGGGGAAUUAUUCGAAAUGGGAGAAAGGCUUACGGAACAAAGGCGGGGUAGUGAUGACGGGCUUCGGGGUGGAAAGCUCUGUUAAUCGGGACGCGGUACCGGAAUAGAAAGCCACGGCUAACUACGUGCCAGCAGCCGCGGUAAUAC